rnacentral:tRNA from 2 species
UCCUCCUUAGCUCAGUUGGUUAGAGCAUCUGACUGUUAAUCAGAGGGUCGUAGGUUCAAGUCCUACAGGAGGAG